rnacentral:rRNA from 1 species
UCCGUAGGUGAACCUGCGGAAGGAUCAUUAAUGAAUUUCGAGUAACCAUUUAACUGGUGCUCAACCUUCAUUUCUAACCCUGUGAACUAUUAUUGGAUUGGUGACUUUGGUCGCUUUUCCACCUUUUUAUUACAAACUUUUGUAUUAGAAUGUUUAUUAAACUAUAAUAAAGAAAAACUUUCAACAACGGAUCUCUUGGCUCUCGCAUCGAUGAAGAACGCAGCGAAAUGUGAUAAGUAAUGUGAAUUGCAGAAUUCAGUGAAUCAUCGAAUCUUUGAACGCAUCUUGCGCUCCUUGGUAUUCCGAGGAGCAUGCUUGUUUGAGUGUCAUGAAUUCUUCAACCCACACUUUUCUUUAUGAAUCGAGUGGUGUUUGGAUUCUGAGCACUGCUGAUCUCACGAUCGGCUUGCUCGUAAUAUAUUAGCAACUCUAAUCUAUAUUUGGAUUGACUCGGUGUAAUAGACUAUUCGCUGAGGAUUACUUGCUUUCGGGCAAGUGGCCAAGUAUUAACCUGACUUUGCUCCUAAUCCGACUACUAGUCAACUUUUAAGAUUAGACCUCAAAUCAAGUAGGACUACCCGCUGAACUUAAGCAUAUCAAUAAGCGGAGGA